ensembl:lncRNA
GAGGCAGACGCAGCUACCCUUUCCUGGAGUUGCUGUUUAGUUGCUCUUUCGCUUCUGAUCUUUGCAGCCCCGUGGACUGUAACCCUCCAGGUUCCUCAGUCCAUACGAUUUCCCAGGCAAGAAUAUUGGGCAGUAUUCCCAAUAGCCAAGACGUGGAGACGACCUGGAUGUCCAUCGACAGGUCUUCAGGAACCAAGGCCCGCAUCCUGCUGGAGACUGGAAGGACGAUGCUGACUUCUUCUGACUUUAAACUACUAAAGCUUGGAUUCUGUGGACCCUUGCCCUAAUUCUAUGUUGAAUUCUCCUCUGCACCAGCCCCUUCAUGAAUGUGCAUACACCAUCGAAGCCCCUCCAUGAAUAUUCGUGAAUCCUUAGCUUAAAACUUCCCAACUUUGCUGUUUAGAGAGACACGGCUUUGGAGAAGAUCCCCAGUGUGCUCCUUACUUGCUACAAAUAUGAUA